ACAGGCGAGGGCGUUCGGCGACGUUACUGGGGCUGCACGGUGCUUGUAGCUGGGCAGUCUUAUCAUCAGAGUGGAGCCUGGUAACCACGACCUCCCCGCCAGGUCCUGUGUGUUGCUAGCUGGAGAAGGGUAGUUGAAAACUCAGACCAAGCACAGUGUUUAUAUCGGUCAAAACUGGAAAACUAUGUCCGGGCGCAGCCGAGGCUGGAGGAUCCCUUCAGGCCAAGAGCAACCUAGCAAUAUGGCGCGACCGGAUCUCUGUAGUCCUACCUCAACCCCCAGCUACUUGAACCCCAAGGUUGAAGGCUCCAGUGAGCUAUGAUCCCACCACAGCAUUGCAGCCUGCCAGACUGAGACAUGAACUUAUGAAUUCAACACAUGAAGACUUACAACUUGAUAAACCAGCUUCAGGAGGCUGGAGUGCAAUGGUGCGAUCUGGGCUCACUGCAACCUCUACCUCCUGGGUUCAAGCGAUUCUCCUGUGUCAGCCUCCUGAAUAGCUGGGAUCACAGGUUCCUGAAAGGGAGAGAGGAAAUCUUCGAUUUUUCAUGGCUGUGAACCACUGCAAGUAUUGAAGAAAUAUUUACUACUUCCAGCCUCAUAAUCCUGCAGUCAUUUGGCACCUCUGAAGCCUUGGGGAGCACUGAAGCCAAGGCUGCACCGUACCAAAAAUUUGAAACAUGUGAAUGAGCUGAAUGUGGAAGGACUACCGGAAAACACUCCUUUCAGAAUCCCCUCAUUGCAUGAAAUCCCAAGGCUCGAAAACAUCUUUCAAGUGAGCAAUUGAAUUAAGUUUGUUAUUAAGAGUAACUCCAGUUAGCCUCCAUUGUCUCCAAGCCGGCUUUUGUCCUCAUCCACAACGCCUCCACACAAGCUCUGAACACCUGUCCAUGUAAAAAUAUCAAGAAAUGCUGAGGCCCAUGUCCCAGAACAACAGUCCUUUAGGUGGAUCACACAUUCUCCACUACACCAAGCUCUACUCACAGGUUGGAGACACGCUUUUUGCAGA
rnacentral:lncRNA from 1 species